rnacentral:lncRNA from 1 species
GAACAGUAGUGACAAAAGAACCCUAGAACUCCCCAUCUCCAGUCGCGGAUGCACACUCUCGAGAGGACCCGGCGUCCAGGCACGCACCCGGGCAGAGAUGAGGCUGAGUCACGCACAGGAAGGAACGGGUAGCUGGUGGACAGCAACUUCCUGAUAUGUUGCCCAGGCUGGACUCAAAUUCCUGGGCUCAAGUGAUCCUCCUGUCUUAGCCUCCUGAGAAGCUGGGACUUUAGGCAUGCCCCACCACACCCAGCAGCAAUAAAAUAUUUUAUAAUUAAGAUGGGAAACUGAGGCACCGCGAAGUUAAAUGUCUUGCCCAAG